CUGGUUGAUCCUGCCAGUUGUCAUAUGCUUGUCUCAAAGAUUAAGCCAUGCAUGUCUAAGUAUAAGCAACUUUGUACUGUGAAACUGCGAAUGGCUCAUUAAAUCAGUUAUCGUUUAUUUGAUAGUACCUUACUACUUGGAUAACCGUGGUAAUUCUAGAGCUAAUACAUGCUGAAAACCCCAACUUCGGGAGGGGUGUAUUUAUUAGAUAAAAAACCAACGCCCUUCGGGGCUUCUUGGUGAUUCAUGAUAACUUCACGGAUCGCAUGGCCUUGCGCCGGCGACGGUACAUUCAAAUUUCUGCCCUAUCAACUUUCGAUGGUAAGGUAUUGGCUUACCAUGGUUUCAACGGGUAACGGGGAAUUAGGGUUCGAUUCCGGAGAGGGAGCCUGAGAAACGGCAACCACAUCCAAGGAAGGCAGCAGGCGCGCAAAUUACCCAAUCGCGACACGGGGAGGUAGUGACAAUAAAUAACAAUAUAGGGCUCUUUCGGGUCUUAUAAUUGGAAUGAGUACAAUUUAAAUCUCUCAACGAGGAACAAUUGGAGGGCAAGUCUGGUGUUUU
rnacentral:rRNA from 1 species